rnacentral:tmRNA from 3 species
AACCUUUACAAAUUAAUCAAAUUAAGCGAUAAUAGUAAGUGCUAAUAUAGCUAUAGUAAUAAACGUAAUUUAGAAUAGAGGUUGCGGACUCGGGGGCAGUACCCGACGCCUCCACCAAUACUCAUACUCGAUGAUUUUCAAAAAUUGGCUACGUUGUCCUACAAGUACUCUGGUACUCACGUAUUAAGUAAUUGCUUCCGUUCCUCGUCUUGUGGACGCCUUGCUCUUUUUGAAAUUGAUCUUCGUAUAACAAUAUGAUGCAAAUACUGCUUGUAUUUUAAAAAUUGAAUUUUAUUUUGAUGGGUGAGUGAGCGGAGCGUAUACUUAAUACGUGAGCAUCACGAAUCCCUGAUAAAAUGAAAGAGCAAUUUUUAAAAGAUAAGUAGUAUUUUGAGGGGGCGAAAUAGGAUCGACGUGCCUAAUAAAAAAAUUGCUUUUACUCGGGAUGAUUCCGCCGCAGGCUUUUGUCUUACGGGUCAAAACAAAGAAACGCAAACGAUAACUAUCGUUCUGCAGGUACUCCAGCUUUAGCUGUAGCAUAAACCUACGCGGUUUGGGGGUUUACCGGGCAACAGAAAAACCCUCAA